rnacentral:rRNA from 1 species
CCUACGGGAGGCAGCAGUGAGGAAUAUUGGUCAAUGGACGAGAGUCUGAACCAGCCAAGUAGCGUGAAGGAUGACUGCCCUAUGGGUUGUAAACUUCUUUUAUAUGGGAAUAAAACGUUCCACGUGUGGGAUUUUGUAUGUACCAUAUGAAUAAGUAUCGGCUAACUCCGUGCCAGCAGCCGCGGUAAUACGGAGGCUCCGAGCGUUAUCCGGAUUUAUUGGGUUUAAAGGGAGCGUAGGUGGAUUGUUAAGUCAGUUGUGAAAGUUUGCGGCUCAACCGUAAAAUUGCAGUUGAAACUGGCAGUCUUGAGUACAGUAGAGGUGGGCGGAAUUCGUGGUGUAGCGGUGAAAUGCUUAGAUAUCACGAAGAACUCCGAUUGCGAAGGCAGUUCACUGGACUGCAACUGACACUGAGGCUCGAAAGUGUGGGUAUCAAACAGGAUUAGAUACCCGAGUAGUC